rnacentral:rRNA from 1 species
GCGUAGGCGGUCUUUCAAGUCAGGAGUGAAAGGCUACGGCUCAACCGUAGUAAGCUCUUGAAACUGGGAGACUUGAGUGCAGGAGAGGAGAGUGGAAUUCCUAGUGUAGCGGUGAAAUGCGUAGAGAUUAGGAGGAACACCAGUUGCGAAGGCGGCUCGCUGGACUGUAACUGACGCUGAGGCACGAAAGCGUGGGGAGCAAACAGGAUUAGAUACCCCAGAUGGGCACGAUGGUAACGAUGAUCACUGGGGGUUGUGGGGGUGCAC